UCCUCUAAAUGAUGAAUACUUGCUUUACACAUAUAUUAUUAACUGUUAAUUGAUUUGUUCUAUGAAUACCCCAUUCCACUUUUUUGGGGUGCUUGUGGUAUAGAUACGGUUGAAUGUAGCCUUCUACUGGUGUACCUACAAUCUUCAUGCUUUUACACAACAUGUUAUUGUAAAGAGAUUUGUGUGCGCAUGCUUUUACAUAGAUUUAUCGUUUAUUUGGUUAGGAACCUACAAUUUUUAGAUUUAUCAUUUGUUGUUGUGUUUACAAAUCCUAUAGCUACACCUGUUAUGAGAACUAGGAUCCGAACUUUGUAUGGCGGAUUAUUUUCCCUUCUCAUGUUUGCCAGAAAAACACAGUUCUGGUCCAAUUGCAACUUGUGUACCAAGCUUGAGGAAAUUUAGAAACCAAAGAAAUAUAAAAUCCAAGAGCAAGGAGGAUAUGGAUUUUAUUUUUGUAGUUCUCCGUGUAAUCCUAACACAAGAUGUGAGAAUUUCCCACAUCAUUAGUCAUUUCUGCUUCGUUUAUUUGUUCAUGGUAAUAGCACUUUCAGUGAUUUAAGUUUGGUUAAUCUGAGAUACUCUUUUUCUUGAUUAUAUAAUGCCGUCAAACAGAGCAACGACUGAUGGUGUAACCUGAACGCAGUGGAGGUUAUGGAGAGAUGGAUGUCUGGGAUCCUCUGCUUCCAUCGUACACCACGGUCGGCGUAGGAAUUCGCUAACCCCAGGGUUGCCUUGCAUUCUGACCAUAUGCUUUACUUAACCCAAGGCGAGCCAUUGUCCAUUUUCCAAGCCCUUUGCAAGGUUUGAAGCGUCCGACGAAUUCUGAUCCUAUGGUCAUGUGCUCCAUGAAGGAGUGUUGAGCAUAUUAUUGAUGGAGUUGGAGAGCUGCACCUCGAAAUUCAUUUAAAGGAACUGCAAGAGGACUUCAUGGGUGGUGCUGGAAUUACUAUUUUUUCCUCUUGGAAUAAUGAACUGACGGUACUAUCCCACUUGGAAUUUUCUAUUACAUCCAAGAAAAAUGGAGCUUGAUGAUUGUGUACCUCAGAAAAGCAUCAUAGUGAAGUUACUCAUUUUAGUUUUGCAGACUCUACCAGUCGAGCUAACUUAACAGUCUGUCUUAUGAGUAGGUUGGCACACCGCGAGUUAAUUGCUUCAUCAAAUGACUCUGGUGUAGAUGUAAGGUUCUUUUCUCAGCAGGCUGGAUAACAGGUCUUUUAUUUUUGUACUCACCGCACGCUUGCUGCUGGAGAGGGCACAUGAGGGCGUUGUGCCUGAGGCGUUUGGUGUUGCUCUCGUGGGUAUUGUGGUGGCAAUGUCAACACAUCUCACCACAUCCGGACAACAGCCUUGAGCCAUAGGUUGUAUUGGGAGUUGGAAGGAAUUGGAUAUGAGACUACAUACAUGUGCUACCUAACCGACUUGGAUUUUGUUGUUACCAUGAUCCACUGGAUGUCGCCACUGCUGGCUGGACCUUCUGCUGUUUGAUAAUCUAGCCCUAAGCAGAUUUGUUGUCUUCAAAUACGGCUAAAUGUGAGCCAAACUAACAACCUUUAGUUCUUGAGAUUUUUGUUAUAUCUUCGAGUAACAAUCUGCAACAGUACUCAUGGUUCUUAGACCUACUAUCUAAAAUAUAUAUUUGUUUUUCUCUAUGUUUUCAUUGCUGUUGAGGGAUCGGUUGUUUUUCCUGUCAAAAAUAGAAAGACGAUGCAAAAAAUAAUUUGUGCCUUUCUCUAUGUUUCUCAGACAUUUACUAGAAAACACAUGCAUGAUUUUUAACACUGUCUACAAAGUAAAUGUAUCCUCUUCUCUCAUUGGUUCAGAUAUAUCCUGGAGAUAAUAUCUUCCGUUGUGACUAGAUUUUAGGCAUAUGAACUAGUGAAGUUUCCUCAGGCCAUAAUAGUUUUAAUUUAUCAUGAGAGAUCUUUGCCAGGUAUUGAGAUUCUCGCUGUGAUCUCCUUGAUGCAAUUAUUAAGAUGAAGCUACAAGACAGUCAUGCAUAAAUCCAUUAGCUCCUCAAAUGGACAAAUUGCUACGCUAAUAUUUGUUGCUUGCCUUUGUUACUUCACCUUCAGUUUUUGGUUGAUCACUGUUGGCACAAUCUCUAAACAUUAUUCUGGAUUAUGUUCAAUGGUAGUGUUGCAUUGCCAUUAGAUUGGAUAAGAGCUUGUUUGUAUAUCUCUUCAGGGUCAGCCCCUGGGUUUGGUGGAGAGGUGGCUGAGCGGCCAAACUGGUGCUAUUUUAUCUACUACGAAAAAUUGCAUUGUCAACUUUCAACUUCCACUGUAGUUUUGAACUAAAAGGAUAAAUAGCUAUAGACUAAUUCUCAUACUUUUAAACUACAGAGAUAGUUUUUUACAUCAAGCACAAUACGUACAGCAAACUAUUACGCUUGAAAAAUUAUAGCUUGCUUAUUAUAUUUUCCUUGCUAUCCGUGAAGACAAUAUAUGGCAUUUUUUCAAUUUUAGCGUGCAUAAUCCGCACUAUGAAUCAAAGGAAGAGCCUAAUUUCGGAAAACUCUUUCAUUCCUUUCUUUCCAAGCACCAUAAAUGAUAUGUUAUGAUGCCUCUAGCAGCUUCUUUAUAUCCUUCCGUAUAUGUCCAGUAUAGGUUUCCACCACUUACUGGAAGAUUAGCUUUUUGUUGUAGUUGAAGGCACCAUGAUGUCAAAACGAGCACCGAGUCUCGAAUUUCAGGUGUUUGAUGAAAAGGCAAGCGGAUUGCAUGGAAAUAUUAAUCCAUGUACUAUCCAUUCUACUCUACAUAACAAAGAACUUCCUGGUUCAACUUUGUCCUAUCAAUCUGUACAAUUUUUUUUGACUCACUUCAUUACGUUAAUCAAUUGUGCUUGCUAUUUACCGCUAAAUGGAUGAUUGAUUCAUGGAAAAUUACAUUUGUGCUAGAUUGUUUGAGACUCACGUAUCAAAUAGUAGUUUUCGGAUUUAGAUACCUUGCUGCACUCAAUUUUGUAGAGAUUCAUCCUUUGUAUACAAAUGGCUCAGGUUUGGACUCUAGAGUUUCUAGAAAAAUAGAUUUAAGAUCAUUCUUGUGAUUUUUUUAAGAGUUGCUAAAGAGAUGAACGAGAUCACAGAGCCAAGGAGAGGUGUUGCCCACUCACCACGCGCUUGCUACCGAAGAUGUGUUGUUUGACUUAAACAGUUUUCAGAUUUAUUUUCUUUGCUUCUUUGAUAUUUUUCAUGUUAUGGUUACUGAUUGAGACAAUCAUUUUUCAGUGAGAGGAAAUUUCAAAUAGAUUUCUUCCCCUUCCCCUCACGCAUUGUGCGGAAAAUUAGUGCAGCUGAACGGACUGGCACUACAUGGGUUUCAGCUAGGGGGUGCGAGAGGCAAUUUUUCAACUGACUCUAGGUGCUCAACUGCUCGGUCUUAACAACCACACUAUUAUAUCUCUUCUGUCGGACUCUCCGGUAAUAAGUGAAGGAGAGGUGGUUCAGAGCCGUGUGAAGCAACACUGGUGGUGGCUACAGCUCAAGAAAAUGAAGAAGAGAUAUGUAUAUGUUAGUGAAUGCAUGUGCGAUCAACAUAAUUUACAUGAGGUAAUCAUUUCCCUGGUUAUUACCCAGGCAUUUUUCCGCCACAUAACAUGAAGUGCUCUCUCGGGAUGACGAGAUGCUAUGGCGGUGAUAGUCGGUGCUCCCAAAUCUAUCUAUACAUGUAGGUAGUCAUGUGGAUGUGCCUUGGUUUGCCUAUCGUACCUACCUACCAGUUGUUAAGCUUUGUCUUCAUAAUAGUAUAUGUACUUUACUGUGUGUUCUUACCAUAGUGCAUAUGCUCUAUACUUCCAUGUUUUCGCUAUAUAUAUUUGACAUUCUGGUGGUUUGUAAAUAUCAGAGCGAAAGAACUAUCUACCCUGGAGACUCAUGAACAUAACCUUAUGUAUGGCUUUAAAUUAUAGUGUCAGUAUAUUUUUUUUCUUACAAUCUUCGCAUUUACUUAUUUGUUAACUGAUUAUCGUUGAUUUGUGUAAAAUAUUAACUUUGUGUAAUAGAAAUCGUUUAACAGUGUGGUUGUUGUCUCUUUUCUUCUUUCCUAUGCUUAUCAAUCAUAAAGAAAUGAUCUAUCAAGUGUUGAAAAUAGUACUGUUUUAUUGUUUUAUGAUGCAACACUUUAAAAAAUCUGUGGCUCGGUUUAAAUUUUACGGGGUCGUGCGCCAAGACGCACAUCAUAAUCUAGUCUAAGGUUAAGCCUGUUGUUUACCCAGCGUUCGUGAGGGCACUCCCGCGCACGCUUUUUUGACCGUAUGAUCGUGGCUAUGAACAGUCUGGAUGGUCAGUUCGGGCAGAUUGAACUAAUUUACAGAUACCCCGCUAUAUGUUUGCCACCACUGACUUUUUGGCCCCGUUUUAGAAUCAUUGCUAGGGGUAGAGUGUAUCCGGUAGAAAAAAACGGGAUCAAAACUACGGAGUACCUUUUUUUUCUCUUCCUCCUCCCCAGUGCCUUCCGUCCCCAAUCGAAGCCGCCGUCCCACGCAGGGCUCUCCCUCCGUUCAUGGCCUCCUCAGGUCCACACCGGCGCCGACCCUGAACCGUCCCCCAUCCCCAAUCGCCGCACGACCACUACUCCACCCACGCCCCUCCCUGCAUCUACACGGAGCUGCUGCGCGCGUGGGAGGAGGCCGGCGCCGCUCGGAGGCUUGCAGGGCGGCGAUGGAGGGCUGGCAGGAGAGCUUGGCCUCCUCUGCCGGAUUUGGGGAGAGAGCCGUCUGGCUUGCUUCGUGCCCUCCCAUGGCUCGAGUCACGGCUCGUGGUGAGGACACGCAGGUUUCAUGUUUCCGGAAGUUUGGUCUCUUGGUUUGAUCCGCAGGCCCAGCGUGUUGGAGCUUGUGCUAGCUGCUUCUCCGGUGGAAGAGGUAUGGGGGGAGUACAUGAGGAAAGGCUAUUGAUCAAAUGGGAUUCAGAGUUGAGUUUCCUCAAACCUGGACUGCUUCAUGAAAUUUAUAAAGGUCCAUUCCUACAUCCUUAUGAGUAAGCAGUCAGUUCACUUCUUCUCUCUCCUCACAAAGCUGCAAUUACUUUUCUGCUUUGUCCAUAUCUGUUCGGGUAUUGUUAGGUUCACCACAAUUUUCCGUGACUAUGCAACUCGCAUGCCUCACUUAGAUAAAACUGAUUUUUCUUGCGAGGCUGUGUAGAUCACCAGAUCGGAAAGCAUCUUGCCAGUGAUGGCGCCUGCCAACGCAUUGCAAUGGUAUCUCUAGAGAAAACACUAUCAAGAAAAGCUACAAUUAUUUCUUGAUUCUUGAUUUCUGUUGCAUCCACUUUCGUCAUUUUAUUCUAUUUUGCCUCCAGUGGUUUCUCAUUAAGCUUGUGGUACUCUAGGGUUUUCUUGGUAUUGAAGUUGAGGCAAUUCCAAGAAUCCUCUUCGUUGUUGAUUUUUUAGUUGACAGGUUUUAGUGUAUAGCGUUGUUCUUGGCAGGGAGGCAACCACCGACAGCUUUCCUCCUAAAUGGUUCUUUAGUUUCUCUCUUGUGGUAUAGGCACUAGGAUCUCACAAUAGAAAUCUACUGAUGGUAAAGAGAUUCAGUCAUUAUUUAUUUACAGUUUAUCUUAUUUCCUGUUUGCACACUGAUUUAUUGGAUUGUUUGUACAAAUGAGAUCAACUACCUUUUACUUUGCUCUUAGUCGUUGGUGCGGGAACCUAAUCCAAGAAAUUCUUCAAUUCUUUUCCUUUAUAUGGCUGAAGGAAUAUAUGAGAUAAUCUCCAUCCAUCUAUUGAGAUUUUAUUCUUAUAGGAAGUGUGGAGAGUUCGUUGUACAUGUCGGUUGUUCUAUAAACACAAAAACAUGUAUAAGCUGGAUAGAAAAUAUAGCAUUUACAGAAAAAACAAGGCUGUUGUGUUAGCUGGAUACAAACAAGCAGUUGGUUUUACAAACACAAAUAGUAGUAUGGGCAGAGUUUGAAAACAAGGCUGCAGUUAUAGCUGAACCGAUUUAAGAUCAAAUUAAGCACACUGAUGAUGUGCACCAGCACCCUCUAAGAAUGCAGCUUGACAUGUGAUGUAUUAAUUUAUGACUUCACGAUGUUUGUUUUAAUUUCCUGACAGAAGGGCGUGUGUGGCAUUUCAACUCAGUAUUUGUAAUUGCUAUAUCAAUGAGCAGAUACCUGAUAUAAAUCCUUUUUUAGGAAAUUAUAUCUUUAAAAGUAAAAAAAAUUGCACCAAAAGUUCUUUUUUUCUUAGCUUGAUUCGUCCUAUAUUUCUUGUGCAUCCUUUUACUUUGAAAAUAAGUUUAGCAGUUCGUUCAUGCUAUUUAUAUAUCUAACAGCUUUAUUCUACUCUAACGUUUCAGAGGUAACUCAUAUAGUCAUAUAAAGUGUGUCCCUAGCAGUAAACUGGAUUAUUGCAAAAGGUUCAGGCGUUCGGCUAUUCGAACUUGCUCAAUCUUGAACAACGUUCCGCUUUCAACUUCAGAUAAUUCAAGUAAUGAGUAGGGAAUUGCAGUUCUUUCCAUUUUUUUCAAUUCAGCCCGUUUGUGCGAGUGGUACAACUUGGACUCUAUCUUUCAAGGUUUUUGAGUCUCCAAGUCAAAACGAGUCGACGACCCUGCGGCUUGGCGAUUAGUCAAAGAAAGUUGUUGUACAGCUCCGCUCUCACGCUUGCUUUUCCUCCUUUCAAGUGGUCUCGAAUCACACGUUGGCGGAUCUAUUCCAUCCUGAUUAGGCAUGGCAUUUUUCCAAAUGGGGAAAGUGGUGGAUGUGGAACUGUGGUGUCCAUCAUGCUGGCUUAUGAAGGCUUACCCUUGAACCGGUGGUCCAUGAAGAAGACGCAGCCGUGACGCCAAAGGAGCUAUAGGUCAAGCCUGUCUGCUAUUAUCCCUUGGCUGCAGUCUGGUAUUGGCAUUUCAUCCCUCUCUCAUGCCAACCACUGAAGACUCACACAUGGACAAUGAUGAAACUAUGUGCUACUGUGCUAAUGUAAGUUAUGUACUGGUGUUUUUUCAUUACCAAAUUACAUUGAAUCUACCAGUAAUCAUUGUUAAUAAUAGUAAAUUGGUAUGGUGUUAAAAAAAUCACCUUCACCGGUAAAAGUGAACAUUUACCACAAUCAUACAGUAGGUGAACUGAAGGAAAUAGCUAUUAUAGGCUUAAGCCUGGCAGCCUGUUUGGAAUAUGUUCCCAGAAUUCUUAAGUUUUUCGGAUUUGUAAUGGUGUGUGAUGGUUUAUUUAGGAACCAAUAGUGCAAUGAUUUGCAGCUCAUGUUGUUGAAUCAAUCAUGCAUCCAUGCAUCUUACGACAAGAGGGUCUCCUAAGAAGUUGCUGGUGAUAUUUUUGGUGAAGUAAUUAAGUUAGUUUGGAACUUCAUUUGUUAUGUAACCCAUGGCUACUCUUAGAUUAAAAAUUUCAAUUUAUAGGCAAUCAAAAUACUCCUCGGGAAAAUCUCUGUUUCAAAUUUCAUAUUUUAUGUUCUCUUUUAAUUGUUUCCCUGACUGGGAUUAAAUUCUUCUAUGCGAUGGUUUUGAAGUGAUUUGGUCGCAGGUAGAAUGCCACAAGGAAAGUAUUGGCUCUUGUGAUGAUGCAUCAGUCAGGUUCACCUGAGGUGUGUCGCAGUACCAGUGCCAGCCUCACAAGUGUUGAUGUGCAGGCAUGUUGUGGUAUUAGUGAUAUCCAACGUUUGUUUUUAAGUUGGCACACCUCAAUUCCUAUGUGAGCUUACCUAUAACAUUAACGAGUGUGGGGAAUUCAGGUUUUUUCGAAGAAUUCUAAUUUCUUAAAUUGAGAGCUUUUAUUUCCUCCUUUUCUAACUACUGACACAAGUUUAAAUUCCAUGGUUGUUUAUGUACAGUGCUUCACCUUGCAAUUUCUGAUUUCAUGCACCCAGUAGGCAGCAAGGAAUAAAAGAAGGAAGGAGCUUCAAAUUAUCGUUUCUUAUUAUGGAAAGAGCUUUAUCCUGCUAAAGUAGUUCAAUUGUUCAUGUAUGUAGUUCUAAAUAAUGUGUAUGUAGAAUCUGUACCAUGCAUCACAGCUUAUUCUUUAGUUUGGUAGUUGAUUACACAAGGCUUCUGCAGGUCUGUUUAGUAUGCUAAUCUGUUGAGGAUACUCCGUCCAAUUGUUUGCUUCGGUAGUA